AGACAGACAGACCUACACACUCAAACUCUCCCUCAUACACGCGGUGUAGCAACUGAGUGUGAAGCAGAUACAGGUCUGAGGGUGGCUCCUUUCAUACCCGGAAUCCCUGCACUGGAAAGACAUUUUGAGUGUCAUAAGUAAAAAUCUGACAAGAAACUUCAUGUGGAAAGAAUGUCCCACAACUGCAAAGUAAUGACACCAGCCAGCUUAUACAUACAGAUGUUCAUGUAUCGCCGAUACCCACCCUCCCAUGCAACAUGACCCACUGAUCCCCUCCACUCCUGGAUCCAGAAAGCCAGAGGAACCCCUUAUAUCGACUACGUAGCCAACCACCCAUUCACCCAGUGGCCAUGCAGCAUCAACUAUGUCUCAAACAGCACUAGCUAUGGCUCCGGGGACCCCACAGUAAGGGGCACCUUCUCAUGUGUGCAUACAGAUGCAGACACUCUGAGGUCAUGCCUAGUUGACAAAGGAAGAGACAGCCCUCUUAGCCCCAUUUGUACUGACACAGAUCAGACCACACCUGCCAGGUGCCAUUCAGAAAUGAGAGAAAACUGAAGUGCCCAAAAUCAGUAGAAGCCCAAGAUACCCUGUCAUCCAUCAGCCAACAGUGGGGGCCCGGGAGACCCCGUCAUCCAUCAGCCAGGAUAAGAGAUGCUACAUCCAAAGCUUGCAACACCCUAAUCCACCCCUUCUAAGAGCAUGUCCUUAGUAGGAGAUUUCAACUUGCCAUGUCUCCAUUCCCUCAACUGUAAAAAAAAAGUAGGUAUUAAAACAGCACUGAACUCACCAACUUGCUUAGGGAUUAAAUGAAACCAUGCAUACUUAUUUCAAUGCAUGGCAUGGCAUUCAUGUCUGAAAUACAACUCUUUCAUUUGGAAGCUAGAUCAUCCUUUUAACUGAUAAUCUGAAAUUAUGGGCCUAGAACUUUGGAGAGACCUAAAGAGUGUACCCUGCAAUUACUGGAAGGAAGUGUACAUCCAGAUAAGGGUGGGGUGAACCCUGGACCAAUUGUGGAGCUCCACAUUCCCCUAAUGAGCUGAGCUUCCUUUAGCACAGCUAAAGGAAAGACCCAAAGACCCCAAAUCUGGCUCUUCAAGCAGUCCCUACCUGUUUAGGCUUCACAUGGAACAAGAACAUCAGCAGGCUGCUCUAUUUAGCCCUUCUCUAUCUUGAUUUCCAUCCUGUUCCUCUUGCCUAUUAGC